UCUCAUCCUUUACUAAUAUCUAAAGGUCAGACGGAUGAUGCUACUAGUUCACAGAGUAGCCUUGAACAGAUAACUAGUGUUGCAGUAAAUUCAGUGAUGGUCGAGGGCUCUCAUCCUUUACUGCUAUCCAAAGGUCAGACGGAUGAUGCUGCUAGUUCAGAGAGUAGCCUUGAACAGAUUUUUACAGAGCCUGAAUAUGUACAAUAACGUGAUCUCAGUGAGAACCAUUAGCAGGUGAGGCUUCGCCUCCGAUUGAGAGGAAUGAGUCAACAUCACCAAAGAGACGCAAACCAGUGUCAGAUCAUGAGAUAACUUCAAGUGCCAGCACUGUGAGGCCUUCCUCCAAGGGUAAAGAAGCAUAUCAAGGCAGAGCUACCCAGAAGAAAAUGCCCUGGCAGCAGAAAGAGGUACAGGCGGUAGAAAGGCAUAUGAAGCGCUUCAUCACAUCUUGCAUUGUACCAGCAAAGAGCGACUGUAUGAAGUGUUUGAAUGCUGAGCCAGAAGCUCUUAAGAACCGAGAGUGGCAACACGUGAAAUUCUACAUUUACAACCGCAUUACAUCCUACAAAAGGAAAAUACAAUGCAAAUAGUGUGAAGAUUACCAACUUUAUGGUAUGGCAGUUUUUGUUCACUUUCAUAUGCCUCUGCAAAAUUCACAUUGAAGGAUGUCUUUGUAUUUCAUAAAGGGAAUGCCCUUUUUGUUUACAUGUUA